rnacentral:rRNA from 1 species
AAGCGGCAACAGCUCAAAUUUGAAAUCUGGCCUCUUCGGGGUCCGAGUUGUAAUUUGGAGAGGAUGUUUCGGGCACGGUCCGGGCUUAUAUUUCUUGGAACAGAAUGUCAUAGAGGGUGAGAAUCCCGUCUGGAGCUCGGACACGACCUAUGUGAAACUCCUUCGACGAGUCGAGUUGUUUGGGAAUGCAGCUCUAAAUGGGUGGUAAAUUUCAUCUAAAGCUAAAUAUUGGCCAGAGACCGAUAGCGCACAAGUAGAGUGAUCGAAAGAUGAAAAGCACUUUGAAAAGAGAGUUAAAAAGUACGUGAAAUUGUUGAAAGGGAAGCGCUGGCGACCAGACUUGCGCGUCGGGGUUCCCCCUUGCUUCUGCUUGGGUUACUCCCCGGCGUUCAGGCCAACAUCGGUUUCGGGGGUUGGUUAAAGGCCUUGGGAAUGUACCUACCCUCCGGGGUAGACUUAUAGCCCAGGGUGUCAUGCGACCUCCCGGGACCGAGGAACGCGCUUCGGCUCGGAUGUUGGCGUAAUGGUUGUCAGCGACCCGUCUUGAAACACGGACCAAGGAGUCUAACAUCUAUGCGAGUGUUAGGGUGUCAAACCCUUACGCGGAAUGAAAGUGAACGGAGGUAGGAAGCCUUAAGGCUGCACUAUCGACCGAUCCUGAAGUUUACGGACGGAUUUGAGUAAGAGCAUAGCUGUUGGGACCCGAAAGAUGGUGAAC